rnacentral:rRNA from 1 species
AUUGAACGCUGGCGGCAGGCCUAACACAUGCAAGUCGAACGGUAACAGGGAUCAGCUUGCUGAUUCGCUGACGAGUGGCGGACGGGUGAGUAAUGUCUGGGAAACUGCCUGAUGGAGGGGGAUAACUACUGGAAACGGUAGCUAAUACCGCAUAACGUCGCAAGACCAAAGAGGGGGACCUUCGGGCCUCUUGCCAUCGGAUGUGCCCAGAUGGGAUUAGCUAGUAGGUGGGGUAACGGCUCACCUAAGCGACGAUCCCUAGCUGGUCUGAGAGGAUGACCAGCCACACUGGAACUGAGACACGGUCCAGACUCCUACGGGAGGCAGCAGUGGGGAAUAUUGCACAAUGGGCGCAAGCCUGAUGCAGCCAUGCCGCGUGUAUGAAGAAGGCCUUCGGGUUGUAAAGUACUUUCAGCGGGGAGGAAGGGAGUAAAGUUAAUACCUUUGCUCAUUGACGUUACCCGCAGAAGAAGCACCGGCUAACUCCGUG